ensembl:lncRNA
AUAGUUCUGUUAUUGAACUCUGGUUGAUGGAACAGACAGUGGUUCUGUGUCCCGGUCCAGAGAAUAGUUCUGUUAUUGAACUCUGGUUGAUGGAACAGACAGUGUGGUUCUGUGUCCCGGUCCAGAGAAUAGUUCUGUUAUUGAACUCUGGUUGAUGGAACAGACGGUGGUUCUGUGUCCCGGUCCAGAGAAUAGUUCUGUUAUUGAACUCUGGUUGAUGGAACAGACAGUGGAACAGUAUGUUGAGGGAGAGCUAAAUGAGAGGAAUAAUUUAACUUCAGUGUUUCUGUCUCUUGUACAGAUGGAACUACAAACCGUUUGUUUUAUAGUUGUUCUUUGUGCUGGUAACGUCCUUGAAUAAUUGUGUGUCUCAGAAAACUAGCGUAGUGCCGUCUUAAGCCAGAUCCAUCCGUUUGUUUAGACUUCUGUUUAAUCCUGAAUGUGGACCACAAAAGGAAUCUACUACAGUAUGUCUGGGAAGACCCUAGUAAACACUGCCACACAGUUUCUGCUCUAACAUAGACCAGUCUAGCCUAAGUGAAGCAUUUCAUGUAGAAUCCAAGAAUACAACCAGUCACCAGCAGCUUCAUAAGCAGUAGAAAAACAACACCACUCUGUGUGUUGGACAGAUCCUGUCAGGAUAGAUGUCAGUAUGUUGUGUGUUGGACAGAUCCUGUCAGGAUAGAUGUCAGUAUGUUGUGUGUUGGACAGAUCCUGUCAGGAUAGAUGGCAGUAUGUUGUGUGUUGGACAGAUCCUGUCAGGAUAGAUGGCAGUAUGUUGUGUGUUGGAUAGAUGGCAGUAUGUUGUGUGUUGGACAGAGCCUGUCAGGAUAGAUGGCAGUAUGUUGUGUGUUGGACAGAUGGUAGUAUGUGGUGUGUUGGACAGAGCCUGUCAGGAUAGAUGGCAGUAUGUUGUGUGUUGGAUAGAUGGUAGUAUGUUGUGUGUUGGAUAGAUGGCAGUAUGUUGUGUGUUGGGCAGAGCCUGUCAGGAUAGAUGGCAGUAUGUUGUGUGUUGGACAGAGCCUGUCAGGAUAGAUGGCAGUAUGUUGUGUGUUGGACAGAUCCUGUCAGGAUAGAUGGCAGUAUGUUGUGUGUUGGAUAGAUCCUGUCAGGAUAGAUGGCAGUAUGUUGUGUGUUGGAUAGAGCCUGUCAGGAUAGAUGGCAGUAUGUUGAACCUCCUCUGUGUGUUGGACAGAGCCUGUUAGAUGGCAGUAUGUUGACCCUGAGAACUAGGACUGACCCCUGAGCCCUGAGAAGUAGGACUGACCCCUGAGCCCUGAGAAGUAGGACUGAGCCCUGAGAAGUAGGACUGAGCCCUGAGAAGUAGGACUGAGCCCUGAGAAGUAGGACUGAGCCCUGAGAAGUAGGACUGAGCCCUGAGAAGUAGGACUGAGCCCUGAGAAGUAGGACUGAGCCCUGAGAAGUAGGACUGAGCCCUGAGAAGUAGGACCCAUUUUUUUUUUAUUACCUUUGUUUAACAAGGUCAGUUAAGAACAAAUUCUUAUUUUCAAUGACGGCCUACUGGGGAACAGUGGGUUAACUGCCUUGUUCAGGGGCAGAACAACAGAUUUGUACCUUGUCAGCUCAGGGAUUUGAACUUGUAACCUUUCGGUGACUAGCUCAACGCUCUAACCACUAGGCUACCCUGCCGCCCCUCUCUAACCACUAGGCUACCCUGCCGCCCCUCCUCUCUAACCACUAGGCUACCCUGCCGCCCCUCCUCUCUAACCACUAGGCUACCCUGCCGCCCCUCCCCUCUAACCACUAGGCUACCCUGCCGCCCCUCCACUCUAACCACUAGGCUACCCUGCCGCCCCUCCACUCUAACCACUAGGCUACCCUGCCGCCCCUCCACUCUAACCACUAGGCUACCCUGCCGCCCCUCCACUCUAACCACUAGGCUACCUGCCGCCCCUCCACUCUAAACACUAGGCUACCCUGCCGCCCCUCCACUCUAACCACUAGGCUACCCUGCCGCCCCUCCACUCUAACCACUAGGCUACCCUGCCGCCUAUACACUCUAACCACUAGGCUACCUUCCGCCCCUACACUCUAACCACUAGGCUACCCUGCCGCCUCUACACUCUAACCACUAGGCUACCCUGCCGCCUCUCCACUCUAACCACUAGGCUACCUGCCGCCCCUCCACUCUAACCACUAGGCUACCUGCCUCCCCACACAGAGAAAGGUCCACGUAUAUUUUUGCUAUGAUAUACAUCAUAUUCCUAACUGCAACUCUAUUUUUCUAACGUGUGGGUAGGCUCAUGUAAAGCCUGUUUUCAGAUGAAACAUGAUGAAGCCUUUUGUUUUUAGUAAUAAAAUGGUAUAAUUCAGUUCAUGUUCCCUCGUUGCUAAGAUACACCCUCACUGUUCUGUCAGCCUGCCUGAUGGGUAGCCUGGAAUCCAGGAUGUCUUAACAUUCCACUCCUUGCCACUGUUUGGCAUGACAAGGAUUGGCAAGGAGUGGAAUGUUAGCACAAAGAUGACUGGAUUUCAGGCUACGUGUCGGUCAGACUGUUGGAAACCGUUCAGAACCACAAAUAUUGUCAGAAUGAACGUGAAACACUUUUAAAUCAUGUUUUUAGUUUUGGACAAGUCCCUGAAAUUAACGCCUUUAUUCAAUUGAACCUGAAUUCAUUUUUUCCAUCUGAAAAUGGAACUAGCAGAUCUAUCCAGAUGUCUCUUUUACUUUCUUUUGGCACAAUGCCUUUUUAGUUAUGACCCUCACUGACGUUCAGUUGUCGUGGCCCCCAGUCUGUUCUGGUUAUGACCCUCACUGACGUUCAGUUGUCGUGGCCCCCAGUCUGUUCUGG